rnacentral:rRNA from 1 species
GUGUCAGCAGCCGCGGUAAUACAGAGGUCCCAAGCGUUGUUCGGAUUCACUGGGCGUAAAGGGUGCGUAGGUGGUCAGGUAAGUCUGAUGUGAAAUCUCUGGGCUCAACCCAGAAACUGCAUUGGAUACUAUCUGGCUAGAGGAGUGGAGGGGGGACUGGAAUACUUGGUGUAGCAGUGAAAUGCGUAGAUAUCAAGUGGAACACCAGUGGCGAAGGCGAGUCCCUGGACACUUCCUGACACUGAGGCACGAAAGCUAGGGGAGCAAACAGGAUUAGAUACCCUGGUAGUCCUAGCUGUAAACUGUGCACGUUUGCUGUAAAAGGAAUCGACCCCUUUUGUGGCGAAGCUAACGCGUUAAACGUGCCGCCUGGGAAGUACGGUCGCAAGAUUAAA